AGAGUUUGAUUCCAUGGCUCAGAACGAACGCUGGCGGCGUGCCUAACACAUGCAAGUCGCGCGAGAAAAGGGGGGCAACUCCCUGAGUAAAGCGGCGCACGGGUGAGUAACACGUAGGUAAUCUACCCUCGAGUCCAGGAUAACCCGCCGAAAGGUGGGCUAAUACCGGAUAUGACCACGGGAGUUUCGGCUCCUGCGGUGAAAGGUGGCCUCUGCUUGCAAGCUACUGCUCGGAGAUGAGCCUGCGGGCCAUUAGCUAGUUGGUGAGGUAACGGCUCACCAAGGCGAUGAUGGCUAGCUGGUCUGAGAGGAUAGCCAGCCACACUGGGACUGAAACACGGCCCAGACUCCUACGGGAGGCAGCAGUGGGGGAUAUUGCGCAAUGGGCGAAAGCCUGACGCAGCGACGCCGCGUGGGUGAUGAAGGCCUUCGGGUCGUAAAGCCCUGUCGAGGGGAACGAAACGGUUGCGACCUAACACGUCGCGAUCCUGACGGUACCCCUAAAGGAAGCACCGGCUAACUCCGUGCCAGCAGCCGCGGUAAUACGGAGGGUGCAAGCGUUGUUCGGAAUCACUGGGCGUAAAGGGCGUGUAGGCGGUCCACUAAGUCUGAUGUGAAAGCCCGGGGCUCACCCCCGGAAGUGCAUUGGAAACUGGUGGACUCGAGUCCCGGAGAGGAAGGUGGAAUUCCUGGUGUAGCGGUGAAAUGCGUAGAUAUCAGGAGGAAUACCGGUGGCGAAGGCGGCCUUCUGGACGGUGACUGACGCUGAGACGCGAAAGCGUGGGGAGCAAACAGGAUUAGAUACCCUGGUAGUCCACGCUGUAAACGAU
rnacentral:rRNA from 1 species